ACUCCUACGGGAGGCAGCAGUGGGGAAUAUUGCACAAUGGGCGCAAGCCUGAUGCAGCCAUGCCGCGUGUGUGAAGAAGGCCUUCGGGUUGUAAAGCACUUUCAGUCGUGAGGAAGGUAGUGUAGUUAAUAGCUGCAUUAUUUGACGUUAGCGACAGAAGAAGCACCGGCUAACUCCGUGCCAGCAGCCGCGGUAAUACGGAGGGUGCGAGCGUUAAUCGGAAUUACUGGGCGUAAAGCGCAUGCAGGUGGUUUGUUAAGUCAGAUGUGAAAGCCCGGGGCUCAACCUCGGAAUAGCAUUUGAAACUGGCAGACUAGAGUACUGUAGAGGGGGGUAGAAUUUCAGGUGUAGCGGUGAAAUGCGUAGAGAUCUGAAGGAAUACCGGUGGCGAAGGCGGCCCCCCUGGACAGAUACUGACACUCAGAUGCGAAAGCGUGGGGAGCAAACAGGAUUAGACACCCUGGUAGCACAGAG
rnacentral:rRNA from 1 species